AUAUGAAAACAGGGGGGCCCGCUGAAGCGAGCUGAGAGUAGACUGUAAAUGUCUUGACCCAUAACCUGAUUUGGAUAAUGCCAACGUAGGAAGAUACAGAAGAUCAGAG
rnacentral:ncRNA from 2 species